UCAGUUCUUGGUGGUUUGCCUCUAAGCUG
rnacentral:piRNA from 1 species